rnacentral:rRNA from 1 species
CCUACGGGAGGCAGCAGUAGGGAAUCUUCCGCAAUGGGCGAAAGCCUGACGGAGCAACGCCGCGUGAGUGAUGAAGGUCUUCGGAUCGUAAAACUCUGUUAUCAGGGAAGAACAAAUGUGUAAGUAACUGUGCACAUCUUGACGGUACCUGAUCAGAAAGCCACGGCUAACUACGUGCCAGCAGCCGCGGUAAUACGUAGGUGGCAAGCGUUAUCCGGAAUUAUUGGGCGUAAAGCGCGCGUAGGCGGUUUUUUAAGUCUGAUGUGAAAGCCCACGGCUCAACCGUGGAGGGUCAUUGGAAACUGGAAAACUUGAGUGCAGAAGAGGAAAGUGGAAUUCCAUGUGUAGCGGUGAAAUGCGCAGAGAUAUGGAGGAACACCAGUGGCGAAGGCGACUUUCUGGUCUGUAACUGACGCUGAUGUGCGAAAGCGUGGGGAUCAAACAGGAUUAGAUACCCUGGUAGUCCACGCCGUAAACGAUGAGUGCUAAGUGUUAGGGGGUUUCCGCCCCUUAGUGCUGCNGCUACGACAUUAAGUACACCUCCCGCCCGUCGGGGAGGGUACGGACCCGGACCGAACGGUUAGGUAAACGUACUAAAUAGUAAGUUAGUACGGACGUGAGACGUUAGCCGACGGACGACCGACCGAGGGGAGGGUAGGGAG